rnacentral:snRNA from 1 species
UUACUUACCUGGCAGGGGAGACACCAUGAUCAGACAAGUGGUUUUCCCAGGAUGAGGCUCAUCCCUUGCACUCCGGGUAUGCUGACCCCUGUGAUUUCCCCCAAUUGCAGGAAACCCAGCUGCAUAAUUUGUGGCAGUGGGGUUUAAAAUUUGUUUUUUAAUAUU